rnacentral:rRNA from 1 species
GACGAACCGUGCGAACGUUGUUCGGAAUCACUGGGCUUAAAGGGCGCGUAGGCGGCUUCCCAAGCCCGGGGUGAAAUCUUUCGGCUUAACCGGAAAAGGGCCUCGGGGACUGGGGGGCUAGAGGGAGGUAGGGGCAAGCGGAACUUCCGGUGGAGCGGUGAAAUGCGUUGAUAUCGGAAGGAACGCCGGCGGCGAAAGCGGCUUGCUGGACCUCAUCUGACGCUGAUGCGCGAAAGCUAGGGGAGCGAACGGG